GACGAACGCUGGCGGCGUGCCUAAUACAUGCAAGUCGAACGCAGUGGGGACGGGUGAGUAACACGUGGGUAACCUCCCAUCAGAGGGGAUAACACUUGGAAACAGGUGCUAAACCGAUACUGAUGGCGGGACCCGCGGUGCAUUAGCUAGUUGGUGGGGAAACGGCUCACCAAGGCCACGAUGCAUAGCCGACCUGAGAGGGUGAACGGCCACACUGGGACGGAGAGACGGCCCAGACUCCUACGGGAGGCAGCAGUAGGGAAGCUUCGGCAAUGUACGAAAUUCUGACCGAGCAACGCCGCGGGAGUUAAGAAGGUUUGCGGAUCGUAAGACUCUGUUGUUAAAGAAGCUGUAUCUAUCCAGAAAGCCGCUGCUAACUACGUGCCAGCCGCCGCGGUAAUAC
rnacentral:rRNA from 1 species